UACGAAGGGGGCUAGCGUUGUUCGGAAUUACUGGGCGUAAAGCGCGCGCAGGCGGUUUUCCAAGUCAGUGGUGAAAGCCCGGAGCUCAACUCCGGAACUGCCAUUGAAACUGGUGAACUUGAGUACGAGAGAGGUGAGUGGAAUUCCCAGUGUAGAGGUGAAAUUCGUAGAUAUUGGGAAGAACACCGGUGGCGAAGGCGGCUCACUGGCUCGUAACUGACGCUCAGGCGCGACAGCGUGGGGAUCAAACAGG
rnacentral:rRNA from 1 species